rnacentral:rRNA from 1 species
UGUGCUAAUACCGCAUAAUCUCUCAGGAGAAAAGCAGGGGAUCGCAAGACCUUGCGCUUUAGGAGCGGCCGAUGCCUGAUUAGCUUGUUGGUAAGGUAAAAGCUUACCAAGGCUUCGAUCAGUAGCUGGUCUGAGAGGACGACCAGCCACACUGGGACUGAGACACGGCCCAGACUCCUACGGGAGGCAGCAGUGGGGAAUUUUGGACAAUGGGGGAAACCCUGAUCCAGCCAUGCCGCGUGAGUGAAGAAGGCCUUCGGGUUGUAAAGCUCUUUCAGCCGGACGAACGGU